rnacentral:lncRNA from 1 species
GGAAGUGUUAGUUGCUCAGUUGUGUCAGACUCUGUUAUCCCUUGUCACAGACUGUAACUCUUUGUGAUCCUGCCAGGCCCCUCUGUCCAUGGGAUUCUCCAGGCAAGAAUACUGGAGUGGGCAGUCAUUCCCUUCUCCAGGGGAUCUUCCCAACCAGGCAGAUUCUUUACCGCCUGAGCCACCAGGAAAGUCCUGGAGUGAGGAAAGCAUCUAGUCUUGCCCCCAUCUUCAUCUUCUUAGAAUCCUCCCUUAGCCACUCUUGGCUUUUCCUGGAAGAACGGCCUCUGCAGCUGUCGCUUGGCUGGAGGAAAGGCGGGGGACCCCACAGCCCCCCUGCCCAAGAACCAGGGACAUCGCCACAUUCUGCGCCCUUAGGACUAACGUCAGGUUCGGCCUAGAGUAGGUUUUGGCAAAAUGUCUGCCAAUGAAUCGUGUCCCCUCUUCCUGGAGAUAUUAAGCAAUAUUCUUUGCUUUGUCCACACUUUCAGGAGGAGAGAAGGUGUAUCGGCAAAGGAUGGUGCUGAAGCAUGAAGCUGCUGCUGCAGCCUUGAAGCUGGAAGGCUCGCCCUGAAGUUAGACGGGUUGGGGUACCCAACCCCUGCCAAACCCACCUCUGUGUUCCUGUCUGCCUGGGAAAAAGAAAAGACACUCUCGAUCCGUCACCUGAAGUAGCCACAAUUAGGAAAGUGUCAGGACUGCAUUGUCUGAGUUCUUUGCCAGGAUCCCGGGAGUAGGGGUGGGGAGGGACAAAGGUGUGGGCUGAGCGGACCCUUCAGACAACCCCGUUGUCUCCAGGGCGGGGGGAUCUCUUUAAAAAAACACGUGAGGCUCCCCUGGAACUGUUCAUGUCCUUCUUCUCAAGGGCACACACGGCAGAAGCGACCCCGGCUCUCAGAUCACAGGCUCUGUG